rnacentral:rRNA from 1 species
CGUAGGUAACCUGCCUUGUAGCGGGGGAUAACUAUUGGAAACGAUAGCUAAUACCGCAUAACAAUGGGUGACACAUGUCAUUUAUUUGAAAGGGGCAAUUGCUACACUACAAGAUGGACCUGCGUUGUAUCAGCUAGUAGGUGAGGUAACGGCUCACCUAGGCGACGAUACAUAGCCGACAUGAGAGGGUGAUCGGCCACACUGGGACUGAGACACGGCCCAG